rnacentral:rRNA from 1 species
AGCGAACGCUGGCGGCAGGCCUAACACAUGCAAGUCGAACGAAGUCUUCGGACUUAGUGGCGGACGGGUGAGUAACACGUGGGAGCGUGCCCUUUGGUACGGAAUAACUCAGGGAAACUUGAGCUAAUACCGUAUGUGCCCUUCGGGGGAAAGAUUUAUCGCCAUUGGAGCGGCCCGCGUCUGAUUAGCUAGUUGGUGAGGUAAAGGCUCACCAAGGCGACGAUCAGUAGCUGGUCUGAGAGGAUGAUCAGCCACAUUGGGACUGAGACACGGCCCAAACUCCUACGGGAGGCAGCAGUGGGGAAUCUCGCGCAAUGGGCGAAAGCCUGACGCAGCCAUGCCGCGUGAAUGAUGAAGGUCUUAGGAUUGUAAAAUUCUUUCACCGGGGACGAUAAUGACGGUACCCGGAGAAGAAGCCCCGGCUAACUUCGUGCCAGCCGCCGCAGUAAAAC